rnacentral:tRNA from 1 species
GGGGUUGUAGCUUAGUGGUUGAGUGCUUGCCUUGCAUGCAUGAGGCACUGGGUUUGAUCCUCAGCACUA